UUGGAGUUGAAGAAGAGUAGAUGCAGAAUAAAACCCAAGUGAGCUUUGAAAAACCCAUUACUACAGACUCCAAGUCCUAAUCGCAUGAAGAAACCUGAACUAGAUAUUGGAAAAAGACCAGACCUUGCUUUCUUUUCCAAGAAGAGGGCUUAGAUAAAGUGUACAGAGAUAGAUAGAUAGAGAGAGCAUGAAGAGGUAACAGGCACUGAAAAGUUUACACAGAGAGAGAGAGAGAGAGAGAGA
rnacentral:misc_RNA from 1 species